rnacentral:tRNA from 1 species
GGGUGUGGCUCAGUGGUAGAGCACUUGCCUAGCACGUGUGAGGCACUGGGUUUGAUCCCUGGCACCACA